CUCAGAGUGAACGCGUGGCGGCAGGCCUAAUACAUGCAAGUCGAACGGCAGCACAGCAGAGCUUGCUCUGUGGGUGGCGAGUGGCGGACGGGUGAGGAAUACGUGGGAAUCUGCCCAGUCGUGGGGGAUAACGUAGGGAAACUUACGCUAAUACCGCAUGCGCCCUUCGGGGGAAAGCCGGGGACCUUCGGGCCUGGCGCGAUUGGAUGAGCCCACGUCGGAUUAGCUAGUUGGCGGGGUAAAGGCCCACCAAGGCGACGAUCCGUAGCUGGUCUGAGAGGAUGAUCAGCCACACUGGAACUGAGACACGGUCCAGACUCCUACGGGAGGCAGCAGUAGGGAAUAUUGGACAAUGGGCGCAAGCCUGAUCCAGCCAUGCCGCGUGAGUGAAGAAGGCCCUCGGGUUGUAAAGCUCUUUUGUCCGGAAAGAAAAGCGCCGGGUUAAUACCCUGGUGUCCUGACGGUACCGGAAGAAUAAGCACCGGCUAACUUCGUG
rnacentral:rRNA from 1 species